UUUAGUUUGAUCCUGCUCAGGACGAACGUGGGCGGCGUGCUUAACACAUGCAAGUCGAACGGACUGUUAGUGAAAGCUUGCUGGAUCUAACAGUUAGUGGCGGACGGGUGAGUAACACGUGAGAACCUAUCCCGACCCGGGGGACAACAGGUGGAAACGCCUGCUAAUACCCCAUAGGCGCAGAGAUGCGUGAAAGGAGCAAUCCGGGGAGGGAGGGGCUCGCGGCCUAUCAGCUAGUAGGUGGGGUAACGGCCCACCUAGGCGAUGACGGGUAGCCGGCCUGAGAGGGCGCACGGCCACACUGGAACUGAGACACGGUCCAGACUCCUACGGGAGGCAGCAGUGGGGAAUCUUGGGCAAUGGGGGCAACCCUGACCCAGCGACGCCGCGUGAGGGACGAAAUCCCUUGGGAUGUAAACCUCUGUUGUGCGGGACGAAGGACGUGACGGUACCGCACGAGGAAGCCCCGGCAAACUACGUGCCAGCAGCCGCGGUAAUACGUAGGGGGCGAGCGUUGUCCGGAAUUACUGGGCGUAAAGCGCACGCAGGCGGGUUGUUAAGUCGGCUGUGAAAAGCACGGGCUCAACCUGUGUCUUGCGGUCGAUACUGGCAGCCUCGAGUACGAGAGAGGGAAGUGGAAUUCCCGGUGUAGCGGUGAAGUGCGUAGAUAUCGGGAGGAACACCAGUGGCGAAGGCGGCUUCCUGGCUCGUGACUGACGCUCAUGUGCGAAAGCUGGGGGAGCG
rnacentral:rRNA from 1 species